GCUGCAAUUGAGGAGCAUACAAGCGAGAUAAGAUCACCUAAUGGCUAAUGCCCUCCAACAACUAAUGGAGAAGCUUACAACCCUUGGAUUUGGAAAACGACAAGGAGAAGCAGAGCUCAACAGCAGCU